rnacentral:rRNA from 1 species
GAUUGAACGCUGGCGGCAUGCCUUACACAUGCAAGUCGAACUGUAACAGGGAGCUUGCUCCGCUGACGAGUGGCGAACGGGUGAGUAAUAUAUCGGAACGUACCAUUCAGUGGGGGAUAACGUAGCGAAAGUUACGCUAAUACCGCAUAUUCUGUGAGCAGGAAAGCAGGGGAUCGCAAGACCUUGCGCUGAUUGAGCGGCCGAUAUCAGAUUAGCUUGUUGGUGAGGUAAAAGCUCACCAAGGCGACGAUCUGUAGCGGGUCUGAGAGGAUGAUCCGCCACACUGGAACUGAGACACGGUCCAGACUCCUACGGGAGGCAGCAGUGGGGAAUUUUGGACAAUGGGGGCAACCCUGAUCCAGCCAUGCCGCGUGAGUGAAGAAGGCCUUCGGGUUGUAAAACUCUUUCAGCCGGGAAGAAAACGCAUGGGUUAAUACCCUGUGCGGAUGACGGUACCGGAAUAAGAAGCACCGGCUAACUACGUGCCAGCAGCCGCGGUAAUACGUAGGGUGCGAGCGUUAAUCGGAAUUACUGGGCGUAAAGCGUGCGCAGGCGGUUUUGUAAGACAGGCGUGAAAUCCCCGGGCUUAACCUGGGAACUGCGUUUGUGACUGCAAGGCUAGAGUACGGCAGAGGGGGGUGGAAUUCCACGUGUAGCAGUGAAAUGCGUAGAGAUGUGGAGGAACACCAAUGGCGAAGGCAGCCCCCUGGGUCGAUACUGACGCUCAUGCACGAAAGCGUGGGUAGCAAACAGGAUUAGAUACCCUGGUAGUCCACGCCCUAAACGAUGUCAACUAGGUGUUGGGAGGGUAAAACCUUUAGUACCGGAGCUAACGCGUGAAGUUGACCGCCUGGGGAGUACGGCCGCAAGGUUAAAACUCAAAGGAAUUGACGGGGACCCGCACAAGCGGUGGAUGAUGUGGAUUAAUUCGAUGCAACGCGAAAAACCUUACCUACCCUUGACAUGCCAAGAACUUUCCAGAGAUGGAUUGGUGCCCGAAAGGGAACUUGGACACAGGUGCUGCAUGGCUGUCGUCAGCUCGUGUCGUGAGAUGUUGGGUUAAGUCCCGCAACGAGCGCAACCCUUGUCGUUAAUUGCCAUCAUUUAGUUGGGCACUUUAACGAGACUGCCGGUGACAAACCGGAGGAAGGGGGGGAUGACGUCAAGUCCUCAUGGCCCUUAUGGGUAGGGCUUCACACGUCAUACAAUGGUCGGUACAAAGGGUCGCCAAGCCGCGAGGUGGAGCCAAUCCCAGAAAGCCGAUCGUAGUCCGGAUCGCAGUCUGCAACUCGACUGCGUGAAGU